rnacentral:rRNA from 1 species
UGAGUAACCUGCCCUGGACUUUGGGAUAACCCUCGGAGACGGGGGCUAAUACCGGAUAUGACAUGCUCUCGCAUGGGGGUGUGUGGAAAGUUUUUCGGUCUGGGAUGGGCUCGCGGCCUAUCAGCUUGUUGGUGGGGUGAUGGCCUACCAAGGCGACGACGGGUAGCCGGCCUGAGAGGGCGACCGGCCACACUGGGACUGAGACACGGCCCGGACUCCGUACGGGAGGCA